GAUAUUUUACUAUCACUACAAAGAGUAAGAAACUGCUUCUCAGAGGACGAAAAAAUUGGAGCUCAUACAUGCCAUCAUUAACACUAUCUGGAUCGAUUAACUUCAUAAAUCCUGAGGGAAAUUGUUGAUUUGUCCUUCUUCCAACAUAUCUUUGUUGUUCAGCUUGUAUGCUAUCCUUAUGCGCAUGACAAGUGCUUUCUUGCCAUGUUGGCUGUUAGUUACCCUCAAGCUUUGUGUGACCGACCCAUUAUCACUUGCAGGUAGUGUAUUGCGGCUAGCUGGAUCCAAGUGCAACUGAAGAAACUUUGGAACGGCUGCCUGGAAAACAAAAUCUGUAAAUGC
rnacentral:misc_RNA from 1 species